UACAGAGGGUGCGAGCGUUAAUCGGAAUUACUGGGCGUAAAGCGCGCGUAGGCGGCUUUGCAAGUCGGGUGUGAAAUCCCCAGGCUUAACCUGGGAACUGCAUUCGAGACUGCAUUGCUAGAGUAUGGGAGAGGGAAGUGGAAUUUCCGGUGUAGCGGUGAAAUGCGUAGAUAUGCGGAGGAACACCGAUGGCGAAGGCAAUCCCCUGGAUCUGUACUGACGCUCAUGCACGAAAGCGUGGGGAGCAAACAGG
rnacentral:rRNA from 1 species